GAUGAACGCUGGCGGCGUGCCUAAUACAUGCAAGUCGAGCGAACGGACGAGAAGCUUGCUUCUCUGAUGUUAGCGGCGGACGGGUGAGUAACACGUGGAUAACCUACCUAUAAGACUGGGAUAACUUCGGGAAACCGUAGCUAAUACCGGAUAAUAUUUUGAACCGCAUGGUUCAAAAGUGAAAGACGGUCUUGCUGUCACUUAUAGAUGGAUCCGCGCUGCAUUAGCUAGUUGGUAAGGUAACGGCUUACCAAGGCAACGAUGCAUAGCCGACCUGAGAGGGUGAUCGGCCACACUGGAACUGAGACACGGUCCAGACUCCUACGGGAGGCAGCAGUAGGGAAUCUUCCGCAAUGGGCGAAAGCCUGACGGAGCAACGCCGCGUGAGUGAUGAAGGUCUUCGGAUCGUAAAACACUGUUAUUAGGGAAGAACAUAUGUGUAAGUAACUGUGCACAUCUUGACGGUACCUAAUCAGAAAGCCACGGCUAACUACGUG
rnacentral:rRNA from 1 species